rnacentral:rRNA from 1 species
AUUGAACGCUGGCGGAAUGCUUUACACAUGCAAGUCGAACGGCAGCACGGGGGCAACCCUGGUGGCGAGUGGCGAACGGGUGAGUAAUACAUCGGAACGUGCCCAGUCGUGGGGGAUAACGCAGCGAAAGCUGUGCUAAUACCGCAUACGAUCUACGGAUGAAAGCGGGGGACCGUAAGGCCUCGCGCGAUUGGAGCGGCCGAUGGCAGAUUAGGUAGUUGGUGGGGUAAAGGCUCACCAAGCCGACGAUCUGUAGCUGGUCUGAGAGGACGACCAGCCACACUGGGACUGAGACACGGCCCAGACUCCUACGGGAGGCAGCAGUGGGGAAUUUUGGACAAUGGGCGCAAGCCUGAUCCAGCCAUUCCGCGUGCAGGAUGAAGGCCCUCGGGUUGUAAACUGCUUUUGUACGGAACGAAAAGGCUUUCUCUAAUACAGAGGGCUCAUGACGGUACCGUAAGAAUAAAGCACCGGCUAACUACGUGCCAGCCGCCGCUGU